rnacentral:rRNA from 1 species
GGGCUGCAGUAAGGAAUCUUCCGCAAUGGGCGAAAGCCUGACGGAGCAAUACCGCGUGAACGAUGAAGGUCGAAAGAUUGUAAAGUUCUUUUCUGAGGGAAGAAUUCUGACGGUACCUUAGGAAUAAGCACCGGCUAACUACGUGCCAGCAGCCGCGGUAAUACGUAGGGUGCAAGCGUUACCCGGAAUCAUUGGGCGUAAAGCGUCCGCAGGCGGCGAAUUAAGUCGAAUAUUAAAUCUUGAAGCCCAACUUCAAGGCCGUAUUCGAAACUAAUUUGCUAGAGUUUUCCAGAGGCAUGUGGAAUUCUGUGUGUAGGGGUAAAAUCCGUAGAUACACAGAAGAACACCAAAAGCGAAGGCAGCAUGCUGGGGAAAUACUGACGCUCAUGGACGAAAGCGUGGGGAGCAAACGGGAUUAGAUACCCGAGUAGUC